rnacentral:rRNA from 1 species
AAUGGCGCCGGCUAACCAUGCAGUCGAGCGGCAGCACGGGGAGCUUGCUCCCUGGUGGCGAGCGGCGGACGGGUGAGUAAUGCAUAGGAAUCUGCCCGGUAGUGGGGGAUAACCUGGGGAAACCCAGGCUAAUACCGCAUACGUCCUACGGGAGAAAGCAGGGGACCUUCGGGCCUUGCGCUAUCGGAUGAGCCUAUGUCGGAUUAGCUGGUUGGUGAGGUAAUGGCUCACCAAGGCGACGAUCCGUAGCUGGUCUGAGAGGAUGAUCAGCCACAUCGGGACUGAGACACGGCCCGAACUCCUACGGGAGGCAGCAGUGGGGAAUAUUGGACAAUGGGCGCAAGCCUGAUCCAGCCAUGCCGCGUGUGUGAAGAAGGCCCUCGGGUUGUAAAGCACUUUCAGUGGGGAAGAAAGCCUUCCGGUUAAUACCCGGGAGGAGGGACAUUUCACCUUCACAGAAGAAGCACCGGCUAACUCCGUGCCAGCAGCCGCGGUAAUACGGAGGGUGCGAGCGUUAAGUCGGAAUUACUGGGCGUAAAGCGCGCGUAGGCGGCUUGAUAAGCCGGUUGUGAAAGCCCCGGGCUCAACCCUGGCGGAACGGCAUCCGGAACUGUCAGGCUAGAGUGCAGGAGAGGAAGGUAGAAUUCCCGGUGUAGCGGUGAUUUCAAUGCGUAGAGAUCGGGAGGAAUACCAGUGGCGAAGGCGGCCUUCUGGACUGACACUGACGCUGAGGUGCUGCGAAAGCGUGGGUAGCAAACAGGAUUAGAUACCCUGGUAGUCCACGCCGUAAACGAUGUCGACUAGCCGUUGGGGGUCCUUCGCGGACUUUGUGGCGCAGUUAACGCGAUAAGUCGACCGCCUGGGGAGUACGGCCGCAAGGUUAAAACUCAAAUGAAUUGACGGGGGCCCGCACAAGCGGUGGAGCAUGUGGUUUAAUUCGAUGCAACGCGACCAGAACCUUACCUACCCUUGACAUCCUGCGAACCCUUCGAGAAAAUGACGAAGGGGUGCCUUCGGGAACGCAGAGAAUCAGGGUGCUGCAUGCUUGUCGUCAGCUCGUGUUGUGAAAUGUUGGGUUAAGUCCCGUAACGAGCCGCAACGCCUUGUCCCUAUUUGCAGCGAUCCGGUCGGGACUCUAGGGAAGACUGCCGGGUGAACAAACCCGAGAAGGUGGGGAGGACGUCAGUCAUCUGGGCCCUUACGGGUAGGCCUAC